UUCAGCCAGUGCUCACCAGUUUGUUUAGACUUGUUUAAGUUUUUACAGACCGCACAGCUUCAGAAUUUAAAAGAAAAUCCCUCACGAGUUUAAAAGAGUCGGAGAAGGAAUUCUGUGCCGUGUCAUGACAUGACACAAGUGUGAGAUUGUUCAUGGAUGUACACCUUGUCGAUGUUAAAUGGCUCCAGGAUGCAGUACACGCUGUAUUUUGCUCAACUGACAAGAGGAGGAAAUCUGCACAUUCAGGAAGGAAAGAAAUUCAAAUUAAUUCGAGGAUCAACCGAAUUUUGGAAUACAGAAUUUGAUCAGCUCUUCAGACACCUCAGCCAAAUGAAUGUUUCU